AUUAGCCCAAAGGCUGCCGAGUAAUUUAUGCAGCCAACAGGGCCAGGAGGGAGGGAAGGCCCACGCUGCCAGCUCAGUGUGGCCUCCCAGGGGCUGGCAGAGGCCAGCCUGGCCAUCAGGAGCCUCUGUCUCUGGGGUCUUCUCUUUCUGGACUCAGCCUCCAGGGCUGUUGGCAGGCCUUCCGGAACCAUCGCUGACCCCCGCCUCACCACACUCCACAGACCCACAUGGCUGCCGCUGGGGACCUGCUAAGUGCCGGGGGCCUGCUGGGGAGAAGUUCAAGCAUUUCAUCCUGUCAACCCCAAGCCUUCCCAGGUGAGGAAUGAAUGUGCUGAGAGCUCAGGCCCCGGUCCAGGACCUGCAGGGCCAAGCUGGGAAGAAAUCCAAUUACCCGCUGCAUUCCCAGGCAGCAGCCUCCUCUGGGAAAUCAGCGAGUGGACAGGGGGAUGAGACCUUUGCAAAGGCUGGAGUCAUCCCAGGCUGCCCACCGGGAGCACAGGCCCCCGUCCGCAGGGGUGAGGAACGCAGCUAUACAGGCGAGACCUCGGGAUAGAGCACUGUUGGGAUUUUGCUGGGUGCCUGACACAACACUUUGCGUUUUACCUGUGUUCGCCUCUUUGUCCUCACAGAAGCCCCGUGACGCAGAUGCAAUUGUCACCUCUAUUUUACAGAGGCUGGAACUGAGGCACAGAGAGGUGAAGGAGAUUUCCCAGAACCACCAAGAUUUGAAGGCCACCAAGAGCCCACUUGCCACAACAGCCACCCAAGAGACGGGUCACUCAAAAACGCGUCCUUUGAGUAAGGGUAGAAAAACCCAAGUGUGAAGGAGAAAAGUGUCCAGGGCCCGUGGCUACCGUCGGCAGCUCUCUGGGGACUUGGCAGGGGACAGGAGAGCAGCCCUUUCCCCAGGCUCUAAAGAAGAGACACGGGAAUAGUUUGGGAACUACAGGGUGACAUUUGGUUCUGUGCAAAGUCUCAGUGGACAGACUUUAAAUAUCGUGCAAUAAGCAUUUAAAAAAUGCAACAGGCGGGGCGCCUGGGUGGCUCAGUCGGUUAAGCGGCCGACUUCGGCUCGGGUCAUGAUCUCGCGUCCGUGAGUUCGAGCCCCGCGCCAGGCUCUGUGCUGACAGCUCGGAACCUGGAACCUGCUUCCGAUUCUGUGUCUCCCUCUCUCUGACCCUCCCCUGUUCAUGCUCUGUCUCUCCCUGUCUCAAAAAUAAAUAAAACGUUAAAAAAAAUUUUUUAAAAAUGCAACAGGCUCCCGUACCCAGCAGUAUAGCUACUCUAGAGGUAAGCCCAGGAAGGCAGAAGAAUAAAAUCAGAAUUAACCUAAAUGCCUUUCAUUAAGAGAAUGUAGGAAGAGAGAAGGAAGAGAGGAAGGAAGGAAGGAAGAAAGGGAGGGAGGGAGGAAAAAACAAUUACAGUAGUUUACUAUGCAAAACCAUGACUAGAUUUCCUAGAUCCAAUGUUAAGUGAGAAAAGCAUUGACCGAAUGAUCCGUAACCAUUUGUUUGAACACACACACACACACACACACACACACACACGUACCCAUUACAAUGGCACAUAUUCCUACAGGUUCUGUGUGUCAAUGCAUAGAAAAAUAUCCAGAAGGCUAUAUGCCAAAGUACUAACAGUGAUGAUUAACCCUGCAGAGGAGGCUGGAAUGUUGUGGUUAUCCAGGAAGAGAAUACUUAGCUGUUUAAAUAAUAUUUGACGUUUUUGCAACGAAAAGGUACAUUUGUAUAUUCCAUACACGAUUAAAACUUAGUAAAACAAUAUAAGAAAAGACACGGUGGGCUGCCUGGGGAACCAGUAAACUCCCUGUCCCUGGCAGUAUGAAAGCAUCCACACUGGGGUGGAGGGAUUCGAAAAACCGUGAAGAAAACAAGGGUAGGUGGGUUAGCUGGCCCUUCGGAACCUCAGAGCCUUAUCAGGGCAGUAGGAGCAAAGCCCUUAUUCUUCCUGCACCAAGAGUGGCUUUCAGGAAGCACAGAGCAUCGGACACUAGAGGAGGGAGAGGCCGUGGACCCUCACUGUGACUUGGGCAGAGACGCACAGGCCAGUCUCUCCACCCCCCUUCCCUCCCAGGGACUCCUAGCUCUAGGCUCUCAGUCCCAGCAGCCCCCAGCCACCGGCCAGCAUGCCUAGUGUUAGCCUCAGACUCCCAGCGUAGGGGCUGUGUCUCUGCGAGGACCUCACGCUGGGGACAAGAAUUCAGGACAGAAGGAGGAGAAGAAAUGCUCAUAAAGCUGACUGCCCCUGUGACACCGAGCCCAAGCCAUGGCCAUGGCCGUGGCCGCAUGGUGAGCCCUAAUCCACAACAGGCUGAGCCCCAGCCCCAGCCAGCCUCUGACCCCCGACAAUAUAAAAAGCAAAGGUCAAUGAAGCUCUUACCUCACCUGGCAAGACAGCAAUGAGAUCGAGACAAGAGCCAAGAGACAUGGGUCUGAGUCCCAGCACCUGCCCUUGACUUCUCCUAAGAGACCCUGACAAAGUCACUGAGCCCCAUGGCACCUCAACCCUCUCCUCUGCACAAUGGGCGGAGGGUGGCUAACUCCCAAGCCGGCUGCGUAGCUCAAAUGAGACAUCGUCCACAUAGUCUCUUUGUGGGCUCCCACAAAACGUACGGCCCCAUCCAGGCCACGGAUACAGGGCACUGAGGAACGAAGGUGGCCACGACAGAGCUCCAAAAGCAGUUAGACUUGCUGCAAAUCUGAAGCCCAGAGGCAGCCAGAAAGGGGCCCGUUUGUGGCCCCAGGCAGGGACCAGGAAGGAACACACAGAAGGAUCCUCCAGGCGGACAGAGACAAGGACGCGCGAGGAGACAGGAGCCAGCCUUCUCCCCGGACCUGUGGCCACACACAGGCCCGGGCACACCACGGGCUGUUCCCAGCAGCCCCCAGACAGGGCGGGCUGGCUCCUCUCCUCCCCAGGCUGAGACCACCGCAGUGACACUCACCUGGCUAGCCCCGGAUGGGACACCCACCGUCCGUCAUCGCCUCAACCAAGAGUUCACUCCUCAAGCCACACCCGCAGGCCUCAGCCCUGACCCAGCAGAGGGUGGGUGUGGGAAGCCACUUCAGGCGGCUGUCCACUGUUCACCUCCUGUUCGGACCCCACGCCAUCGCGCCCAGUGCCUGGUCAACCCCCCACCUCAGCCUCAGACCUCAGCCUUCCCUCCUCCUGCCCACAUUCCCUGGCAUGGCUCUGGACUCCUUGGGGGCGGCCGGGACACCCCCUUUGACAGUUCAUAGCACGGGUAGCAUCAGGCAGCGGGGACACGAAGGCUCCACCAUGGCCAGCCAACCAUGACAGGUGCCAACCCACUGACCAGAACAGCCUGGGAAGGCCUGCUGCUCACACCUGAGGAUUGAUUGCCUGCCCGUCCAGCCAGAAGGGACCCAGGGGCCACCAGGCACCAGCAGAAUCAUGGGGCUGGCUGCCUCAACUGGGACAAGGAUAGGCCGGCUCACCAACAACUUACCCCACUGGGCACCAAGAAACUGCCUUCCUGGAGGCUGAAGACCGAAAGGAAACACCACUUGGAUGGCCCCUUCGGUCGUUUAAAGCACCUCCUAAGCUGUGACUUUAUCUCCCACCUCAGGACCUCCGCCUCCAGAAUAGUCUUCAAGUCCUGACUCAGCCUGGCAUCCAGGGCCCUCCCGGUCGGGCUCCCAGAACUAUCUCCUCUACCUUUUCGCAAACACCCAAGACCACUUCCCUGAACCACCCGAUCCUCAGGUCGUCUGCCUUUGCACAUACUGUUCCCAGGGCCCGAACUUUCCUGCCUUCUUUCUCCACCUGGCAAACUUCUACUCUCCCUUCGAGGUCCAGCUCUAUGUCUCUUCUUCCAGGAAGCCUAACGGGCUCUCCCUCUCCCACCCCUCCCCUCCCCGCCACAUCCCUGAGCAAGUAGGGCACUUCCCACUUUCAAUCACAGUUACGAUCUGGGCCAGAGCUCCUCACGCUAUUUGUGAAAGAGAUUUUUUUUUUUUUUUUUAAGUUUUCCAAUCUGUUGCCAACUGAUGCUUUUGUAAGUUACAAUAAAGAAUGACACAGCAAUGUCAAGUUGCAGUAGGAGUUUUUCAUCACUUACUCUCAAUGUUGUACCUACCUCGCUGCACACCAGUAACACACAGCCCAGAGAUGGGGAGAGGUCUAGCAGACCACCCUCUCUUUGGGUUCGGGGCCCAUCGAAUCAUGUGUUUAUGUUUGGUCCUCCAGAGCCCAAGGGGCACUCCCCGAUCUGCUGUCCCAAAUAUUGGCCGGGAAGGGCCCAACAACCCUGUAACAUGGGCAGCACCCGUGCUAUGCGGCCCCAUUUCUCAGACGAGCACACAGAGGCACAGAGAGGAUGAGCGGCCUGGCCAACGCUGUACUUUCUCAGGACUACCCAGCAUCACAGGGGCAGGUGCUUGGGCCCAGGAACUUUUCCAGCCGACCCUCCUUCCCAGCAC